UGCGGAGGGAUCAUUACACAAUAAAAUACGAAGGCCGUUCGCGGCUGGACUAUUUAUUACCCUUGUCUUUUGCGCACUUGUUGUUUCCUGGGCGGGUUCGCUCGCCACCAGGACCACAAUAUAAACCUUUUUUAUGCAGUUGCAAUCAGCGUCAGUAUAACAAAUGUAAAUCAUUUACAACUUUCAACAACGGAUCUCUUGGUUCUGGCAUCGAUGAAGAACGCAGCGAAAUGCGAUACGUAGUGUGAAUUGCAGAAUUCAGUGAAUCAUCGAAUCUUUGAACGCACAUUGCGCCCUUUGGUAUUCCAAAGGGCAUGCCUGUUCGAGCGUCAUUUGUACCCUCAAGCUUUGCUUGGUGUUGGGCGUUUUUGUCUUUGGCCCGCCAAAGACUCGCCUUAAAAUGAUUGGCAGCCGGCCUACUGGUUUCGCAGCGCAGCACAUUUUUGCGCUUGCAAUCAGCAAAAGAGGACGGCAAUCCAUCAAGACUCCUUCUCA
rnacentral:sRNA from 1 species